GCCACUGCUGUUGGGGUUCGGCUAAGCCAUGCGAGUGGAGGGCGCGGUCGAAAGAUCGUGGCCCCGCACACGGCUCAGUAACACGUCGUCAACCCACCUUAGGGUGGGGGACAACCUCGGGAAACUGAGGAUAAUCCCCCAUAGGCGGGGGAGGCUGGAAUGCGCCCCCGCCGAAAGCUCAGGCGCCCUAGGACGGGACGGCGGCCUAUCAGGUAGUUGGUGGUGUGACG
rnacentral:rRNA from 1 species